UACAGAGGUCUCUAGCGUUGUUCGGAUUCAUUGGGCGUAAAGGGUGCGUAGGCGGCGCGGUAAGUCGGGUGUGAAAUCUCGGAGCUUAACUCCGAAACUGCAUUCGAUACUGCCGUGCUUGAGGACUGGAGAGGAGACUGGAAUUUACGGUGUAGCGGUGAAAUGCGUAGAUAUCGUAAGGAAGACCAGUGGCGAAGGCGGGUCUCUGGACAGUUCCUGACGCUGAGGCACGAAGGCCAGGGGAGCAAACGGG
rnacentral:rRNA from 1 species